AGGCGGGCUGGNAACCUCUCGGGGUUACAGCCUUGCUGAAUUAUUCACCCUUGUCUUUUGCGUACUUCUUGUUUCCUUGGUGGGUUCGCCCACCACUAGGACAAACAUAAACCUUUUGUAAUUGCAAUCAGCGUCAGUAACAAAUUAAUAAUUACAACUUUCAACAACGGAUCUCUUGGUUCUGGCAUCGAUGAAGAACGCAGCGAAAUGCGAUAAGUAGUGUGAAUUGCAGAAUUCAGUGAAUCAUCGAAUCUUUGAACGCACAUUGCGCCCUUUGGUAUUCCAAAGGGCAUGCCUGUUCGAGCGUCAUUUGUACCCUCAAGCUUUGCUUGGUGUUGGGCGUCUUGUCUCUAGCUUUGCUGGAGACUCGCCUUAAAGUAAUUGGCAGCCGGCCUACUGGUUUCGGAGCGCAGCACAAGUCGCACUCUCUAUCAGCAAAGGUCUAGCAUCCAUUAAGCCUUUUUUUCAACUUUUGACCUCGGAUCAGGUAGGGAUACCCGCUGAACUUAAGCAUAUCAAUAACGG
rnacentral:rRNA from 1 species